ACAGAAAACAUUACGUCAACCACUACUGCAGCACCUGUCAAUCAAACAGUGACAGUGACGUCACAAACAACGCCUUCCACGACAGCAGUAAACGGCGUUUCUACGACGACUGAUGCCCCACCCCUUGGGAAGGCCUGUCUGGCAAACUUUUUCUGUACACUAGACUGUAGGACCGGAUAUCAAACAGACGCGACCGGAUGUCCUCUGUGUGUGUGUAACGCCGACAUCGAUAUAUUUACUCAAGCUCCUCCUCCGGAUUCAUCUACGUCUCUGGUUCCGUUGACUACUGUGCCUAUUGCCAGUUCCAGUUCUCCCGGCGGGGUAGCAAGUUUUGUUUGUCCGGGGAUUUUUGACUGUAUGAAGCAAUGCAUGAACGGAUACCGUGUAGAUUCCCGGGGCUGUCCGCGGUGUGAAUGUAUUCAGUGAAUAAAUACCAACCCUGCC
rnacentral:misc_RNA from 1 species